UACGUAGGGGGCAAGCGUUGUCCGGAAUCAUUGGGCGUAAAGAGCGCGUAGGCGGCCCUGUAAGUCCGCUGUGAAAGUCAAGGGCUCAACCCUUGGAUGCCGGUGGAUACUGCAGGGCUAGAGUCCGGAAGAGGCGAGUGGAAUCCUGGUGUAGCGGUGAAAUGCGCAGAUAUCAGGAGGAACACCGAUGGCGAAGGCAGCUCGCUGGGACGGUAC
rnacentral:rRNA from 1 species